rnacentral:rRNA from 1 species
GCCAGCCCGCUACAGAAACUCAAAGGAAUUGACGGGGGCCCGCACAAGCGGUGGAGUAUGUGGUUAAUUCGAUGCAACGCGAAGAACUUACCUGGUCUUGACAUCCCGGAGACCCUUAGGAAACUAGGGGGUGCUUCCAUCUGGAAGAAUCUGGAGACAGGUGCUGCAUGGCUGUCGUCAGCUCGUGUCGUGAGAUGUUGGGUUAAGUCCCGCAACGAGCGCAACCCUUGCCUUUAGUUGCCAGCAGUUCGGCUGGGCACUCUAAAGGGACUGCCGGUGUUAAACCGGAGGAAGGUGGGGAUGACGUCAAGUCCUCAUGGCCUUUAUGACCAGGGCUACACACGUACUACAAUGGCCGAUACAAAGGGCAGCGACACUGCGAGGUGAAGCCAAUCCCGUAAAAUCGGUCUCAGUCCGGAUUGGAGUCUGCAACUCGACUCCAUGAAGUUGGAAUCGCUAGUAAUCGUGGAUCAGCAUGCCACGGUGAAUACGUUCCCGGGCCUU